UGCCUAUACCGGGCCGUCGGUCGGCAGUGAAUAUUCGUACUCUUCCCUCAGCGGGAUUUAUAAUGAGACGCUUAGGCCCCGACGAGUAGGGGGGUCGCGACGGUGUGCGUUGAAGGGUACUGGGCGUGAGCCUGCCUGGAGCCGCCGUCGGUGCAGAUCUUGGUGGUAGUAGCAAAUACUCCAGAGGGAUCCUGGAGGACUGACGCGGAGAAGGGUUUCAUGUGAACAGUGGUUGGACAUGAGUCAGUCGAUCCUAAGCCGCAGGAGAAAUCCGACCUAGUGUACUGGCGUGAUUCUACUACAUAUCAAACUUUGCAUGCGUCUGUUGUUGUUUUCUUUCUUUCUAGAAAUAGAUAGAGAGAAGCAACGAUAGGCGAAGCGAAGGUAGUAUAUUCAAUGAUGCGCCGCUGGGUUAAGGCGAAAGGGAAUCCGGUCCUAAUUCCGGAACCUGGCUGCGGCUACGUCCGCGAAAAACGAAAUUUAAACCCUCGUUUCUCUCGGUCGCGGUAACGCGACACAAACCGGAGAAGCUGUCGAGAACCCCGGGAAGAGUUUUCUUUUCUGCUUGAGGGACCGAGACCAUGGAAUUCCGUCGUGGAGCGAUAUGGUUUUGGAUACACGCUGUUAAAAAGGCGAUCCCGAAGAGCGCCGCGUUUCUGCGGCGUCCGUGGUCGUUCUCGACUGGCCCUUGAAAAUCCGGCGGGAGGGUUACGUUUUUGGACGUUCGCGCCAGCUCGUACCGAUAUCCGCAUCAGGUCUCCUAGGUGAACAGCCUCUAGUCGAUAGAUGAAUGUAGGUAA
rnacentral:rRNA from 1 species